UUGCUAUGAUGAUAAUGAUUAUAUUUGAUGAUAUUUGAGAAAUUAGUUUUUGAGCUUUUUAACUCUGAGCGAA